rnacentral:rRNA from 1 species
CACGGAGUUAGCCGGGGCUUCUUUACCGGCUACAGUCAUCAUCUUCACCGGCGAAAGAGUUUUACAACCCUAAGGCCUUCUUCACUCACGCGGCAUUGCUGGAUCAGGGUUUCCCCCAUUGUCCAAUAUUCCC